rnacentral:lncRNA from 1 species
UUUCCCUCUAUAGGUUACUAGUUAACCUACCUAUGUUAUUUUCUUCUUUCCUAGUAGUUGCUCUGAUAACCUUGGGAUGAUUUAAGUGUUGUUGUUGUUAAUGUUGCGAGUUAAGAGCUUAUGACUCCACCUAUGAGUGUUGAAAAAGGUUUAUUUGGAAUGUUAUAUGAGGGAUUAAAUUCAUGAAAUUAUUUCGAUUUAUUAUGUUGGUUGAGGUGGUGGAUGUUUAUUUGGGGGAGCGGAUGGCUCCAGAAGAUGUGGAUUGAAUUGUUUUAGAAGUGUUUGGGUUUUGGUGAUUUUUCUUCCAGGUAGGGUUACUCAUUUUCAAGGGAAGUUAUGCCAAAAUUUUGGUAGAAUUUCCCUUGAGGUGGGUCCCGCAGGGUUUAUUCCGGAUUUCAAGGGGAAAUCCGGGGUAGGUCCUGACAAUCAAAGCCACCUAUUCCCUAGUUACCUACCCACAUAUGAAUCCUACAAAAAAUUAGCCAAAAUGAAAAACGUUUAACCAUUUGAUUAGCACAAUAUUCAUUUUAAUUUUAUCUAAUGGUAUACAAUUGUUUACGUCAAUUUGAAUGACCAAAUGAUUAUGGAAUUAGUUAAAAUUUGGUAGACAUGUUUCUUGCAUAUGAAUCUAGAUGAUCAACGGUUGAGGUCGUUAAAAGAAGUCAUCUACUAAUGUAAAAUAGUAGAAAUCCUCAAAUUCUUAAAGUAAUGAGGUCCUCUUUAUAUCCUCCAUAUAUAUAUAUACAUACAUACAGUCCUUCUCUACUACACACGUUCGCAUUUAUUUUUACGGUGCGGAUUUCCACUUUAGACUCACUUUUCAAUCGAAUUUUCAUAUCUUCACCGUCUAGUCUUUAGAUAUUAAUGUAUAGAUCAUCUCUACAAAAUUUCAGCCAAUUUGGUUAUCAUUAAGGCACUUAAAACUACGUUUUUCUGUUAUAAACAUGAACGGUUCAAGUUCGACAGAAUUAUGUUCAUCCAUUGGUUUUAUCGAGUUUGAGUGCCUUAAUGAUAACCAAAUUGGUUGAAAUUUUACAGAGAUGAUCCAUACAUUAGUAUCUAAAGACUAGACGGUGGA